GAUGAACGCCGGCGGUGUGCCUAAUACAUGCAAGUCGUACGCACUGGCCCAACUGAUUAAUGGUGCUUGCACCUGAUUGACGAUGGAUCACCAGUGAGUGGCGGACGGGUGAGUAACACGUAGGUAACCUGCCCCGGAGCGGGGGAUAACAUUUGGAAACAGAUGCUAAUACCGCAUAACAACAAAAGCCACAUGGCUUUUGUUUGAAAGAUGGCUUUGGCUAUCACUCUGGGAUGGACCUGCGGUGCAUUAGCUAGUUGGUAAGGUAACGGCUUACCAAGGCGAUGAUGCAUAGCCGAGUUGAGAGACUGAUCGGCCACAAUGGAACUGAGACACGGUCCAUACUCCUACGGGAGGCAGCAGUAGGGAAUCUUCCACAAUGGGCGCAAGCCUGAUGGAGCAACACCGCGUGAGUGAAGAAGGGUUUCGGCUCGUAAGGCUCUGUUGUUGGAGAAGAACGUGCGUGAGAGUAACUGUUCACGCAGUGACGGUAUCCAACCAGAAAGUCACGGCUAACUACGUGCCAGCAGCCGCGGUAAUACGUAGGUGGCAAGCGUUAUCCGGAUUUAUUGGGCGUAAAGCGAGCGCAGGCGGUUGCUUAGGUCUGAUGUGAAAGCCUUCGGCUUA
rnacentral:rRNA from 1 species